AUGAAUGGGACGGCCAACUUGGCCCCGACCGCCCGUGGCCACUUCACCUCCGCCAUCCCGGUGCCACGAUCCACGACCCCCAACAAACCGCCUUCUGCGCCCCCCCCUGCCCGGCACAGCGCCCCAGCCCCCCCUGCCUCCCACCGGGCCACAUCCCCACGGCCAGCAGCACCCCCCGGCUCCAAAAGCCUCAAACCCAGGCCCAGAGCUUCAGGCCGUGAGGCAACCGAGAGCCCAGGUGUACCCCCCCAUGGGGGGCAGAGAGCCCCAGUGCUCCCCGGGAAGGGAGUGGGGGGAAGCCGGGUGGAGUGCAGCCUAAGGGGGCCUGGGGCCCAACGACCCCUCGGGAUGGCAGUGGAGGAUGGACCCAACGCUGGCCCUAUGAGCAGGAGCCCCAUGUUCGGGUCAGGGACCAUCAGCUUCUCAUCAGCUUCCCCGCAGAGCCGCCCUGUGACAGCCACUGUUGCCCCAUUCCAGUACAGGCUGCAGGAGAAUGGAGAGCAGAAUGCCACAUCCCUGUGUGACACCGCUCCUGCUGAGGUGCCCGACCCCAAAUCCAGAGCCAUGACAGCCCCCGGCGGGUUAAAUGAUUGCAGCGCGGGGAUGCUGGGGAGCAACCUCAAGAGCCUUCCCGACGUGGAGCUGGGCGAGGAGGGCGCGGCGGAGCUGCGCGGCUU
rnacentral:lncRNA from 1 species